GUAACCUGAUCAACUCCUGUCUUCUCUGAACUUAUUUCACAAGUAGCUUUAUAUGCUGUGUCCAGGACCCAGAUUCAAGGGGUCAUCUUGGUUUGAGUGAGUGUGAACGUUUUGUCUCUUGUUAUCACCUAAUAUACAAAAUGUAGUUCUCUUCAUAUGCUCAGGAUUUUGGAGAAAUUAAGGAGAGGUGAAUGUAACAUGCAAGAGAAAGGAGGAUUGUUUAUAUUGAUGUGUAUAUAUAUGUGUAUUAUUAAUUUCACCAAAAUCCGUCACAUUGUGUUUGGGAUUAUUUUCAUUUCAUUACAUUAUUAUUAUUUUAUCUUCAACCUGACACGUUUAUUUGUUUUGGCUUUAUGCUUUAUAUUUUCUUUAUUUGCAAAGUCAGCGCUUUUAUUUUGAAGGCCAGCGGAAGUGAUUGUAACUUCCGGUCCCUCUCUCGUCAGUCUGCUUUAACCCUGACUGCGGGAGGUGGCCUUUUGGAUGGCAUGAACACUCACACUCUGCUUGAUAUUGCAUUUUAUGCAGGAAUAAACGGCAGUCAGACAGCAUCCUCUGCGUCCU